CCUGAUCUCCCCUCCAAUACUGCUAUAGAAGCCAGCUAGUACACUUUUUGGGCCCAGCUGAUGAGUGGAAUCAGAGGGGACAUGUACAUCAGGCUCCCUGACCAUGACAGGAGGAAGGCAUCGGAGGCAUCCUUGCUUGGACCCUGCUGAGAACAAAACUGGUGGCAUUUCCUGUUCUGUCUGGUAGUGAACAGGUCCACUUGGGGAAUUCACCACUUUUGGAAGAUCAUACAGGCUACCUCUUUAUGGAGCGACCACUCAAGAUGAGAGGAGAAGUCCCUGCUGAGCUGGUCUGCCAGCAUAUUCCUGAUGCUGGGAAGGUGACAAGCUUCCAGGUGGAUUUCCUGGCUGAUGCAGAAGUCCCACAGAUGGAGCGCUUCCUGAUAGAGAGCUGACGAGUGCGCUGCCCCUUGCCUGUUGAUGAUGAACAUCGAGGCUCUGUUGUCAGUCAGGACUCGUACCACCUUGCCCGACAGGUGGGGCAGGAAGACUCUGCACGCCAGCGGGACUGCUUGGAGCUCUUUGACAUUUAUCUGUAACCGCACCUUCUCCAGGGACCACAUCCCCUGUGUCUGGAGGUUGCUGAGAUGUUCCCCGUAGCUGAGGUCCAAGGCAUCCAACACCAGCUCAAUGGAGUGAGGAGGGUUGUUUCGGAACCCCUUCUAGGACUGUCCCGCAGUCGGUCCACCAUCUCAGUGAGUAGGCCCAGAGAGCAGCACGUGGCUUGAAGCACCGCGAUGUCCCUUCAGACUUGACGACUGGCUUGUCAAAGGUGGCUCCAGGUUUCAAGGUAUGGGUAACUUUGGAUACCCCAGCACCUGAGGGCCCUGCCAUUGAAGGGCAGGUCCUGCAAUGACUGCUGGGCCUUCGUGGGCAACCCAGAGAGGAGCACUUGGUUAUGUGACUCUCCACAUGGAAAUAGCUGAAGCCAGGUGUGGGCAGCAGCAUCUGAUGCUGCCUGGAGGGCCACCUUGGCCACAGUCGUGCCAUCAUCAAGGAUGGUUCGGAAAUCCUUCUUGAA